UCACCGCUUGCGCGGGCAGUCUCAUUAGAGUCCCCAGCUUGACCUGUUGGCAACUAAUGAUAGGGGUUGCGCUCGUUACGGGACUUAACCCAACACCUCACGGCACGAGCUGACGACAGCCAUGCAGCACCUAGUUUCGUGCUAUUGCUAGCUGUCAUAUUUCUACGACAUUCACUAACUUUCAAGCCCAGGUAAGGUUCCUCGCGUAUCAUCGAAUUAAACCACAUGCUCCUCCGCUUGUGCGGGCCCCCGUCAAUUCCUUUGAGUUUCAGUCUUGCGACCGUACUCCCCAGGUGGAUAACUUAAUGCUUUCGCUUAGACGCGUACAGUGUAUCGCACACAUCGAGUUAUCAUCGUUUAGGGUGUGGACUAC
rnacentral:misc_RNA from 1 species